rnacentral:lncRNA from 1 species
UCUGGAAGAGAAGGAAAGGAAGAAGAAGAGAAAGGAAAAGGGAAGAAGUGAGGAAGAGGAGAAGGGGAGGCAGCUGUGGCAGUGGCAGCUGCAGCUGGAAGAGAAGGAGAGGAAAUAGAGCAGGGGAGGAAGAAGAGGCUGCGGUUGUGGUGACUGCGGCCAUUGCUGCGACUGCGACUGCGGUAGUUGCAGUUGGGAAAGAAAAGAAAGGAAAGAGGGAAAAAGGGGCUGCGGACGGGAUUGCGGCCGCAGCGGCAACGACUGCGUAUGCAGCAGUUAUGUCUGCGAAAGAAGGGAAGGAAGAAGGCAGUGCGGUGGAAGGGGUUGCGACUAUGGCAGCGGCAGCGGCGGUGGUUGUGGCAGUUGCGUUUGGGAAAGAAAAAAGAAGGAAUGAGAGUAUGAGAGAGCAGGUGACUGUGCCUCGAUAUUCGGCACGUGGUGUAGUUGUGAAGAAAGAAAGAAAACGAGUGCACAAAACAAAACAGAGA